rnacentral:rRNA from 1 species
GAUGAACGCUGGCGGCGUGCUUAACACAUGCAAGUCGAACGGAAAGGCCCUGCUUUUGUGGGUUGCUCGAGUGGCGAACGGGUGAGUAACACGUGAGUAACCUGCCCUUGACUUUGGGAUAACUUCAGGAAACUGGGGCUAAAACCGGAUAGGAGCUCUUGCUGCAUGGUGGGGGUUGGAAAGUUUCGGCGGUUGGGGAUGGACUCGCGGCUUAUCAGCUGGUUUGUGAGGUAGUGGCUUACCAAGGCUUUGACGGGUAGCCGGCCUGAGAGGGUGACCGGCGACAUUGGGACUGAGGUACGGCGCAGACUCCUACGGGCGGCAGCAGUGGGGAAUAUUGCACAAUGGGCGGAAGCCUGAUGCAGCAACGCCGCGUGCGGGAUGACGGCCUUCGGGUUGUAAACCGCUUUCGCCUGUGACGAAGCGUGAGUGACGGUAAUGGGUAAAGAAGCACCGGCUAACUACGUG